rnacentral:rRNA from 1 species
GCCUAACACAUGCAAGUCGAGCGGUAGAGAGAAGCUUGCUUCUCUUGAGAGCGGCGGACGGGUGAGUAAUGCCUAGGAAUCUGCCUGGUAGUGGGGGAUAACGUUCGGAAACGGACGCUAAUACCGCAUACGUCCUACGGGAGAAAGCAGGGGACCUUCGGGCCUUGCGCUAUCAGAUGAGCCUAGGUCGGAUUAGCUAGUUGGUGGGGUAAUGGCUCACCAAGGCGACGAUCCGUAACUGGUCUGAGAGGAUGAUCAGUCACACUGGAACUGAGACACGGUCCAGACUCCUACGGGAGGCAGCAGUGGGGAAUAUUGGACAAUGGGCGAAAGCCUGAUCCAGCCAUGCCGCGUGUGUGAAGAAGGUCUUCGGAUUGUAAAGCACUUUAAGUUGGGAGGAAGGGCAGUUGCCUAAUACGUAACUGUUUUGACGUUACCGACAGAAUAAGCACCGGCUAACUCUGUGCCAGCAGCCGCGGUAAUACAGAGGGUGCAAGCGUUAAUCGGAAUUACUGGGCGUAAAGCGCGCGUAGGUGGUUUGUUAAGUUGGAUGUGAAAUCCCCGGGCUCAACCUGGGAACUGCAUUCAAAACUGACUGACUAGAGUAUGGUAGAGGGUGGUGGAAUUUCCUGUGUAGCGGUGAAAUGCGUAGAUAUAGGAAGGAACACCAGUGGCGAAGGCGACCACCUGGACUAAUACUGACACUGAGGUGCGAAAGCGUGGGGAGCAAACAGGAUUAGAUACCCUGGUAGUCCACGCCGUAAACGAUGUCAACUAGCCGUUGGAAGCCUUGAGCUUUUAGUGGCGCAGCUAACGCAUUAA